CCUACGGGAGGCAGCAGUGGGGCAUAUUGGGCCAUGGAGGCAACUCUGACCCAGCCACGCCGCGUUAAUGAUGAAGGUCUUCGGAUUGUAACGUUCUGUGAUUGGGGAUGCACUCCCUGACGGUACCCCCCUCGCAAGCCACGGCUACCUACGUGCCCUGCGCCUCUUUCAUACGGAGGUGGCAAGCGUUCUCCGGGAUUAAUGGGCGUACAAGGUGCUUCGGUGGUUUAGUAAGUUGACGGUGUAAUUCCGGGGCUCAACCUCGGCGCUACCGCCAAAACUAUUAGACUAGAGUGAAGGAGGGGUAAGUGGAAUUCCUAGUGUAGCGGUGGAAUGCGUAGAUAUUAGGAGGAACAUCAGGGGCGAAGGCGACUUACUGGACUGUAACUGACACUGAGGCACGAAAGCGUGGGGAGCAAAUAGGAUUAGAUACCCUUGUAGUC
rnacentral:rRNA from 1 species